UGAUGAUGUUGGUGGCUUUUCCUACCUU
rnacentral:sRNA from 1 species